rnacentral:lncRNA from 1 species
CCCCCCUGGUUUUUUGCAAAAGAUUUGGUUUUUGCAGAUAAAUAUUUAUUUUAUAGUUCUCGUUGUUUUAAAUCUUUUGUUUAAAUUUUGAGAUAUAUUUACUACCUUUGACCAUUUGGUUAAAGAUAUGCAAGUCGUACGUGUUAUUCUCGGCCGCGAAAGCCAAACAAAACCGCGAGAAAUGUGGGAAAAGAGUAUUGAAGACGAUACUUGAGUCGGGUAAAAAGGUAGGAGACGUCUAGUAGUCAAUUUUACUUAUUCUUUAUCUUAUUUGACAUGAAAUUGGUAAGCCUAACCAUGAAAUACACUUCAUUUGCUAAGAAAACAAGCUUUCAGCUUUCUACAGUCCAAAUUUCAUAUUGUAAGGUGUAAAAUUUCCCAUUAUUUUAACAAGCUGUAAAACAUUCACAAAUAUUUAUAGUUCUAAACAACAAAGAUUUGAUAUUCACAAAUUUGUAUGAUAUAUACUGUCUAAACUCACUAUAAUGCAAACUAUCUUGUGUAAUAAUGUUAAAAAGGUUGACUGCAGAGACCUGAGGUCUCGUUUUAUUAAUUUUAUAAACAUACACUUGAUGAAACUAUGAUGUGUAGGGUUUGUUUAUUUAAUAUGCACCAACUUUUGUGUACUAAGCUACUGGAAGCUGGCUUAUCCAGGAAGGUAGAUUCUGUCUACCUAUAUAUAAAAGCCUCUCCAAUCAGGAGACACUUUUUGUGUCAUUAUACACCUGAUUAUAAACUCCUUAAGCACCAGUGCUCUCCCCUCGACAAGUAAAAUUGUCUGGUGUUUAUCAAUUUAUAUAAAAUAGGGUGCAUUAAGGUACAAUGCAACUUUUAAAGCAGUUUAAUGAAAGCAUUUCUAAGCAGCAUUGUAUGUAUACCUUUAAGACAGGAAUAAACCUGCAGCCAUCAGUGAUUCUGAUGCAGUGUUCAAACCAAUUUAUACUGAUCAGCUACAGUUGUCAAGCUGUAGUUGCAAAUUAAUUCAUGUAAAUAUUAUAAGGUGAAGCCUGUAGUAAGGUGUAAGGGUAAAUGUCAGGAUUUUGGACAUCACACUCAACAGAACUUUAAGUAUCGAAGGUAGCGUCACUAGACGAAUAUUUUAAGUGUGAAUUUUAUACAUAUUUAGACCUAACCAACCUAAAAAAUAUAGUUGCAUCUUUUGCAGCUGCUUUAACCACAGGUCUAAAAAUGUAUAAAAUUUACACUCAAAAUUUUCAUCUACAAAAACCCUUCAACAUUUAGUGAUGUACAUCAGCGUUACCAUGUAAAUUCCUUUUCUCACCAAACAUGCACUUACUGCAUGUACAGUAAUAGUUGGUGGUCAACAUAGGAAUAUUUGCACAAGAAAUCAAGAAUAGACAUUACUGUACCUCUCAAUUCUUUAUUUUUCUCAUACGGAAUACAUGGUCUGCUUUAUUAAAUUAAUAUGUAAUUCUUAGAUAAUAAUUAAACUGCUUUAUAUUUUUUUAGACCAAGACGUGUUCACUUAAAUUAAGGGAGAGGUAUUGUCAGUGGCCAAUUUGAGGAAUCUGAUGCAUUGGUGGAAUACUGCAUGUGGUCAUGAAAUUAUACCUUCAAUGCUGCAAUCCUCAAGGUCUGAAAAUUGUACCAACCUCUGCUAAUCAGCAGGGAUCAAAAGACAUGUUUAAGUAACACUACUAGUUUUGUAAAGAAAAUGAAACACUCCUGAUGACAUAUACUCGAUUUGUUGAAAUAGUUGAACUGAGACAAUGAUAGUAAUUCAAGCAUUUUUGGGGAACAUUUUUAAAAAUGUACUUGUUUUUAAAAUGUAAAUUUAUAUUUGACUCAUAAUUUUCUCAGAACCAAUCCAAUAUCCACUACAUUAAUUUAAACAUAUUUUCAGAGGUCAAGUAACUACCAAUGAUUUGAGCUCUAGGUUUGGAAAUAGAAAUCACAAAAUGUUAACGAAAAUUCUAAUAAAUUUUAUAUAUUUACGUAAUACAUAAGUGUAAUUUAGUAUUUAUGAC